GCCUGCGUGGCUCAGUUGUUGAGCAUCUGACUUCGGCUCAGGUCAUGAUCUCACGGUUCGUGAGCUCAAGUCCCACUUCAGGUG
rnacentral:tRNA from 1 species